rnacentral:rRNA from 1 species
CCUACGGGUGGCAGCAGUGAGGAAUAUUGGUCAAUGGGCGUAAGCCUGAACCAGCCAAGUCGCGUGAGGGAUGAAGGUUCUAUGGAUCGUAAACCUCUUUUAUAAGGGAAUAAAGUGCGGGACGUGUCCCGUUUUGUAUGUACCUUAUGAAUAAGGAUCGGCUCACUCCGUGCCAGCCGCCGCGGUAAUACGGAGGGUCCGAGCGUUAUCCGGAUUUAUUGGGUUUAAAGGGUUCGUAGGCGGCCUUUUAAGUCAGCGGUGAAAUUCUGUGGCUCAACCAUAGAAUUGCCGUUGAAACUGGGAGGCUUGAGUAUGUGAGAGGCAGGAGGAAUGCGUGGUGUAGGGGUGAAAUGCGUAGAUAUCACGCAGAACCCCGAUGGCGAAGGCAGCCUGCCAAGCCAUGACUGACGCUGAUGCACGAAAGCGUGGGGAUCAAACAGGAUUAGAUACCCUUGUAGUC